rnacentral:tRNA from 1 species
GUCUUCGUAGUUUAAUGGAUAAAACAAGGACCUCCUAAGUCUUAGAUAGAAGUUCGAUUCUUCUCGAAGACA